rnacentral:rRNA from 1 species
GUACACUCCUGCGGGAGGCAGCAGUUGGGAAUAUUGGACAAUGGGCGCAAGCCUGAUCCAGCCAUGCCGCGUGAGUGAUGAAGGCCCUAGGGUUGUAAAGCUCUUUCACCGGUGAAGAUAAUGACGGUAACCGGAGAAGAAGCCCCGGCUAACUUCGUGCCAGCAGCCGCGGUAAUACGAAGGGGGCUAGCGUUGUUCGGAUUUACUGGGCGUAAAGCGCACGUAGGCGGACUAUUAAGUCAGGGGUGAAAUCCCGGGGCUCAACCCCGGAACUGCCUUUGAUACUGGUAGUCUUGAGUUCGAGAGAGGUGAGUGGAAUUCCGAGUGUAGAGGUGAAAUUCGUAGAUAUUCGGAGGAACACCAGUGGCGAAGGCGGCUCACUGGCGCGAUACUGACGCUGAGGUGCGAAAGCGUGGGGGGCAAACAGGAUUAGAUACCCUGGUAGUCCCAUGA